GUAGGGAAUAUUGGACAAUGGGCGAAAGCCUGAUCCAGCAAUGCCGCGUGAGUGAUGAAGGCCUUAGGGUUGUAAAGCUCUUUUACCAGGGAUGAUAAUGACAGUACCUGGAGAAUAAGCUCCGGCUAACUCCGUGCCAGCAGCCGCGGUAAUACGGAGGGAGCUAGCGUUGUUCGGAAUUACUGGGCGUAAAGCGCGCGUAGGCGGCGAUUUAAGUCAGAGGUGAAAGCCCGGGGCUCAACCCCGGAAUAGCCUUUGAGACUGGAUUGCUAGAAUCCUGGAGAGGUGAGUGGAAUUCCGAGUGUAGAGGUGAAAUUCGUAGAUAUUCGGAAGAACACCAGUGGCGAAGGCGGCUCACUGGACAGGUAUUGACGCUGAGGUGCGAAAGCGUGGGGAGCAAACAGGAUUAGAUACCCCAGUAGUCC
rnacentral:rRNA from 1 species